ensembl:lncRNA
CAAGGAUUACCAAAGAAGUCUAUAAAGAGCUAGGUUCAGAGAACAUUAUUUCAUAUAAGAAAUUUCAUCCCUCAAUCAUGUGCUCAAAGAGAGGCCUUGAAAACAAAAUAAGAGAAUCAUAGACAGAGGAACAGACUGCUUUGCAAAAGAGUGACCCUCUCCUGACAGAUGUGGCUGCCAUGGGAAACCAGAGAGCAAGCAUGCUGUAGACUUAAUUGCACCGGUUUGCAGGAGGUAUUUGCACGCCUGCCAACAGCAUUUGUGAGCGAAAGGUUAGUGUGUGUGUCAUAAAAGUCCUUGUCUUUGAAGGAACAUAGAGCAGGGAUUAAGGGCUGAGUCUAAUGAGAGUGCUCAGGGGUCAGACGGAGGGAAGUGACAAGUGCUAGAUGAUUUUUCUGGGCUCUCUCUCUGAGUAAAGAUGAUUGCAGUGCCAGGCAGCCAGGGAGCAGAAGUGCUGUAGAUGACUAGGCCCCUGCCUCUUUCCGGGGUCCAAGAUGACCUGAAGAAAGUCACUUUACUUCUUGCUGGGAAAAAUCCUAAACUGAGAUUUUUGCUCCCAUCUCAGGGACUGUGAGUUCCCCUAGAAAGAGACUUAACAAUGACAGUGUCAUGGCUUGUGUCUAGCUGCCCCUUCAAAGCCUUAUGCAGUCAUAGAUGGGGCUCUUCCAGAGGUGGCUGGAUCUAGAGUGUGUGAUUAAUUCAUGGUGCAAUGCUAGGAUAAAGGUUGGGUGAUUCCUAAAUCGGUCCACUGAUUGGUUUGACACUGCCCUAAUCCUGGUAGCCUGGAUACAAUAUAAGGGACGUAAAGAGGCUUAUCUGGUCCCUUGCUUUGCUGCCUUCUGCCCACUAUGAACGUUUCUCCUCUGCAAUGUCUGUCUGCUGUGCCACCCUGCCUUGGAACCAGCUGAUUAUGGACUAAAACCUCUACAAACUAAUGAGAAUGCCAAGAUUGGAAGGUGGAGCAAAUGAAGGAAAGUGCUUCCUUGUUCUCAGGAACCUCCGGGUGAGCCCACACUCUCUGAGGAAAUACAGAACUCUGACUCCUGCAUGGCUGUGGUCUGCAACUGCUCAGGACCUCACCCCCUCUGCCCUCUCCUACCUUGCACCUACCCUAGCACAGGCACCUGGGCAACAUCCUGCUGGGUGACACUCUCUGGACCUGUGUGUAGGAAGACGGACUUGUGGGUUUAGAUUGAGCAGGAUUCAUCUCUGAUAGAAGCUGUCUCAUUCUCUGGAUUCCCACCUUCAGGUUCCAUCAGAGAAGACUGAUUUAGGCUCUGUCUGAAGGAGCAAUGAAGGGCCUUGGGUAGGAGACCUGACGUGAAUCCCUAACGCUCACACCAACCAUCCUGAGGCAGAGCUGGCCUCUUGUGUUAAUUCAGGAGAGCCGGCCAGGGCGCCAAAGCUGAUCUUCAGGGUGGCACCUUUAACUUUUUGUUGUGGUCCACAUAGUUGGUUAUCAGCAAAGAUUGUUUUGAAUGCAAGCAUUGAUUUGCGAAUGUCCUGUGGGUAAAUAAUGGGUGCAAUGUUAGCUGGUAAGGGCCUUAAGAGAAGGUUGCAUGUGCUCAAGUUCCAGUUCUUCAGAGUCUUAGAGGACCACUUUGCAUGACACCUUUCAUGUCAUGGAAACUAGGCACCUCCUGAAAUGGGGAUGGGAUACUUAAGAGGCAUCAUUCUUCACACUUGACUUCUCCACUUCCCCCAUCACUGGACACUUAGCUGCAGUCACAAUGGACCCAGACCUAUGACCAAUUUGGGAGAGGGGGCCAGCCAGUGGGAGUCAGAUUUCCAAAAUGGGAACAGAAUCUGAGCUCAAGUUACAGCUAAUUCAGUCUUGUUGCUGCUAUAGUCACUCUCACUGCCCUCUGGGCCAUUCUCCCACACUGUAGGUAGAAAGAUCGCUUCACAUUUAAACACGGUCCUGUUGCCUCCCUGGUUUAAAAUAUCCUUUGUCUACCCACUGGGCCUAGAAUACUGGUCAAACCCAUUAAAAUGGCCUACAAGGAUCCUCCCACACCUACCACUCCUUUGUUUCUGCCUCUUCCUUUCCUCAAACUUCAGCUCCAUUUCAUCAACAGGUCUUCUCUGACCUCUUGAUUAGAUCAGAUGCCAUCCCUACAUGUGUACUACCUGACACCCUCAAGGAGAGAAGAGCAUGAGGACAGGAGUCUCAUGGCUUGGCAAUCCACUGCAAGAACAGGCGACAGGUGUGGGUGUGCGCUGCAGGACAAGCACUGUACUGGUUGCUUACAGGCAUUACGAGUCUCACUUGUUGGCUGUAGGACCUAUGAGUUACAAGAACCAAGGCAUGGAGAAAUCAAGCAAUUUGCCCAGUUCAGUGGGAUCUGAAGUCUGGUGGUUCCAGAGCUUCUGCCCAUAGUCUUUAAGCCUGUGGUUCUCAGAGUGGGGUUCUUGGCACCAGUGGUAUCAGCACUGCUGGUACCUUGAGAGAAAUGCAGAUUCCCGGGCUCCACCCCAGAACUAAUGAGUCAGAAUCUCUGGGGUUGGGCCCUGUAAUCUGUGACCCAACCCAGCCUCCAGCUGAUUCCCAUGUUCCGUCAGGCUUGUGAACUCCAGUUCUGGGUCAUUUUUCCAUCUUGUCAUAGCUCCACAUCCUGGACACUUAAUAAAUGCCUGCAUAUGGAAGGGAGGCAGGGAGAGAGGGAGAAAGAAGGCAGGCAGGCAGGCAAGCCUCUUCUCAAAGAAUAUUCUGAAAUAAGUGGAUGGAGGACUGCUGUGGCUUGACCAUACUUUAAUCUCCAAAUUGCAAAAACAUUAACAUUAUUGAUUGAUCAGACAUCAAUCCAACAGAAAUUUAAUUAAAUUAGAAUGUGUCACCGAGCAGACCUGGCUGCAUCAUGCAUAAAUCUCAGGUAAUAAGUUGACAAAGAGGCAGCACCAUUGAUGCUCACCCUGGCUGAAUUUGGCCUGCAUCAUCUUCUCCUACUGUUGGCCUCCAGAGGCCUUGCACAUGCCUUAGGGAGAGUACAGGUGAAAUGGGGUGAAAUCCUGAUUCAUGGCACCCGUCAAGUCGCCAGUGGCUACGGUAUCUGAGAAAUUCCUUCCCUGUGUGAUUUACUUCUGCCUUGGGCCAGCCAAGCGGCAUUGGGGGGAUGCCUCUGGGUGAGCCCAGGCCUUGGGGAAAGUGCUGAGCUGGCUGAGAUCUCCUGGGUGAGGGGUUUAGCACUUGGGGUGUCCUCAUGACCAAUGUGUCCUUAGGAUGAAGCCAGAUCCUCAGAGGGCAGAAGACCUGCACUGGUGUGGCCUGUCUGCCCUCGCCUCAGGAAUGUAUUUUGGUGUCAGCGAGAUGCCGCAGCUGCUGUCCCAGAGACAGGUCUGGAGUGGCUCCAGUGCACUUGGCUCUGGGCCACCAGACCCUCAGCAUCUUAGGCACUGGGGGCAGCAGAGGAUGCCAGGAAGCCACAGACAGCGGUAACAUGGCCUCCUGCGCCUAGAGAGGUCUAAAUCCUUUAGGGUAAAGGAAGGGGUGCCUGAGGACAGGAAAAUCCAGGUGACAAAAAAGAAAGCAGACUGUCCUGGGGUCAGGAAGGCUGUGUGGAAGAAACCCUUCUAACAGUGAUCUCUUGAACCCAACCUUCUUGCUUUCUUUGAUUUCCUUCAAUCAAUCCUGGGCUCACAUUUCCUUUGUAAAUGUCAUCUUCCUUGUAGGGAAUGAUGUUGUUUUGAUAGCACAUGUUUUGAAGAUGUCACAGUCUCUUCUAUGGCUGGCAUUUAUUCCGCAGCUCGCUGGUGAUGUACCCCAGGCUCUGGUCUACAGCAGAGGUCCACAAACUGCAGCCCAGCCAGGCCUGCCACCUGUUUUUAUAAAUAAAGUUUUAUUGGAACAUAGCCAUAUCUGUUUAUACCAUGUCCACGGUUGUUUCCAUGCCAUAAUAGCAGUAUCAAACAGUUGUAUCAGACAGAGUCUGGACCACAAAGUCAAAAAUAUUUAAUAUCUGUCCUUCUAUAGAAAAAGUUUGCAAUCCUCAUGGUAAAGAAAUGGUAAGUGGCUAAGAACAUAGGCUCAGGAUUCAGACAGGUUUGAACUUGAAGACCAUUUCUUCCACCCAUUAGCUAUGUAACCCUAAGUGAGUGAAAUUACCGCCAUGAACUUUAGUUUCUUCCUCUGUAAGUAGAGAUAAUAAAAUUGUCUACCUCAUAGAACAUUAUGAAGCC